rnacentral:rRNA from 1 species
UUUGAAUGGGGGCANCAAAUGCUUAAUUCCGCGUGAGUGAAGAAGGCCUUCGGGUAGUAAAGCUCUUUCGCAAGGGAAGAAAACUUAUGAUCGAAUAAAUCAUGAGGUUGACGGUACCUUGAUAAGAAGCACCGGCUAACUACGUGCCAGCAGCCGCGGUAAUACGUAGGGUGCGAGCGUUAAUCGGAAUUACUGGGCGUAAAGCGUGCGCAGGCGGUUUUGUAAGUCGGAUGUGAAAUCCCCGGGCUCAACCUGGGAACUGCGUUCGAAACUGCAAGGCUAGAGUGUGUCAGAGGGGGGUAGAAUUCCACGUGUAGCAGUGAAAUGCGUAGAGAUGUGGAGGAAUACCAAUGGCGAAGGCAGACCCCUGGGAUAACACUGACGCUCAUGCACGAAAGCGUGGGGAGCAAACAGGAUUAGAUACCCUGGUAGUCCACGCCCUAAACGAUGUCAACUAGUUGUAGGUAGAGUAAAAUCUAUGAGUAACGUAGCUAGCGCGUGAAGUUGACCGACUGGGGAGUACGGUCGCAAGAUUAACACUCAAAG